UACGUAGGGGGCAAGCGUUGUCCGGAAUCAUUGGGCGUAAAGCGCGCGUAGGCGGCCCGGUAAGUCCGUUGUGAAAGUCAAAGGCUCAACCUUUGAACGCCGAUGGAUACUGCCGGGCUAGAGUCCGGAAGAGGCGAGUGGAAUUCCUGGUGUAGCGGUGGAAUGCGCAGAUAUCGGGAGGAACACCAGUAGCGAAGGCGGCUCGGCUGGGCCAUUCCUGACGCUGACGACGCGAAAGCUAGGGGAGCGAACAGG
rnacentral:rRNA from 1 species